rnacentral:rRNA from 1 species
CUCAAAGGAAUUGACGGGGACCCGCACAAGCGGUGGAUGAUGUGGUUUAAUUCGAUGCAACGCGAAAAACCUUACCCACCUUUGACAUGUACGGAAUCCUUUAGAGAUAGAGGAGUGCUCGAAAGAGAGCCGUAACACAGGUGCUGCAUGGCUGUCGUCAGCUCGUGUCGUGAGAUGUUGGGUUAAGUCCCGCAACGAGCGCAACCCUUGCCAUUAGUUGCUACGAAAGGGCACUCUAAUGGGACUGCCGGUGACAAACCGGAGGAAGGUGGGGAUGACGUCAAGUCCUCAUGGCCCUUAUAGGUGGGGCUACACACGUCAUACAAUGGCUGGUACAAAGGGUUGCCAACCCGCGAGGGGGAGCCAAUCCCACAAAGCCAGUCGUAGUCCGGAUCGCAGUCUGCAACUCGACUGCGUGAAGUCGGAAUCGCUAGUAAUCGUGGAUCAGAAUGUCACGGUGAAUACGUUCCCGGGUCUUGUACACACCGCCCGUCACACCA